rnacentral:rRNA from 1 species
AGUGAACGCUGGCGGUAGGCCUAACACAUGCGAGUCGAACGGCAGCACAGUAAGAGCUUGCUCUUACGGGUGGCGAGUGGCGGACGGGUGAGGAAUACAUCGGAAUUUACUUUUUCGUGGGGGAUAACGUAGGGAAACUUACGCUAAUACCGCAUACGACCUACGGGUGAAAGCAGGGGAUCUUCGGACCUUGCGCGAUUGAAUGAGCCGAUGUCGGAUUAGCUAGUUGGCGGGGUAAAGGCCCACCAAGGCGACGAUCCGUAGCUGGUCUGAGAGGAUGAUCAGCCACACUGGAACUGAGACACGGUCCAGACUCCUACGGGAGGCAGCAGUGGGGAAUAUUGGACAAUGGGCGCAAGCCUGAUCCAGCCAUACCGCGUGGGUGAAGAAGGCCUUCGGGUUGUAAAGCCCUUUUGUUGGGAAAGAAAAGCAGCAGGUUAAUACCCCGCUGUUCUGACGGUACCCAAAGAAUAAGCACCGGCUAACUUCGUG